UUCUGCCUAGCAAGAUAUGGGAUAAAAUGUUUGGGGAGGCAAAAACUACAUUUCUGAAUAAAGCCUUGCUAAGAAAAAGCUCUUGAUCCAUUUCCUGUUAUCCCUCUAGAACUUGGAAUAUCUUGCAAACAUGAUGAUGAAAGUCACUUGCCAAGGAUGGCGAGAUAGGAGAAAGAAGGAGCAACAUGCCGGUUCUCCUGCACGGAAAUGGGAUUGCCUACCUCUGGACACUGUGGAGUGGUAAAUAAGAAAAAAGGAAAACCUCAUUUAUCAGAUUCACCUGCAGUUCUACCGAAAAAUCCAGGACAGCAAAGCAGCUCCUAGCAGACAUCAGGACCAGACAUUGUGGGUAAACCACCAGACUCAUCGAUAAACCUCAGAUGCCAAAGAGCAAACUAGUGGUGCUCCUUGAACUCUAACUGAAACAUCAGCUCUUCCUGGGUCUUGGGCCUGCCAGUAUUCAGACUGGGACUACAUACACCAUCAGCUCUCCUGUGGUCUCCAGUUUGGUGACUGAAGAUCUUGGAACUUGUCAACCUCCAUAAUCAUGCCUUAUUCCAAGAUGGGAGCCAUCUUGUGGGUUAAUAUUUUGGAGAUUGUGGGAUCCAUGGAAUUUGCAGUACUGGGAAAAUGUGCUUCUGGCUUUUGAACCCAUCAUCCUAUUUCCUUUGUUGCUUUUAUGCUACUGGAAACAGCAAGGAAUUCAGGACUAAGAGGCAGAGCUUGGGAGAGUCUGCAACUUAUUUUGAAUAACUUUGGCUCCGCUGGAGAAGGAGGAGAUGACCAAUGGGAGAGACUAUGGCAAGAUUAAAUAUUGCUUGAAGUUCACUACUAUUUAUGGCAAAGUAAGAAAUAUGGGGAAAAGCUUCUCUAAAAGGACGCCUCAUCCAUGACCUUUGGUUGUUUUCAAUUUGGUUUAGAAGCAGUACUUGUGUAGGUUUUGUGUGUCUCUCAUAUUAGCUUUCCGGAAUUGAGAGAUGAGGUGAAGCCUGGAAAACUCCCCCAACAAGGUCAAGUUCCUGUUGACUAAUUCUGUGAUGACCAAGAACAGUCUCUGAGUCCUUGAGGCCAAAGUCUGUGGCACAUGCUGUGCUUGGAGGUAGACAUUUUGAUGAAUAACAUGAGCAACUAAAUACUCUGGAUGUCGUCUCAGAUUUGAUUCUGCUUACACCAGUAGGUAGAGAUAAAGACAUUAAUGAAAUGAAGCAAUCUGGACUCUGACUAAUGAGCAGCGUGAGGGAGAAAUACAUCGAAUGAUUUCAGUUACAGCACUGGUGUAAAACAGAGGGAGUUUUACAGCGAGCAACUGAAGUGUUUGAGCUCAGAAUUAACAGUUCUUUGCUUGAGGAAGGCAUAGUAGAGGGUCCCAUCAUCCAUUUGCUUUGUGAAACAUCAAUAUUUUUCAGGCAGCUGAAACCUUUGUAGAAAUGAGAAGAUGGCAGGAUGCCAAUAUAGGAAUUUGCAUCAGGGCCAAAAUAGUGUCUAGAGAACAAUUUGGUCUCUUCUGUAGCAAUGUGGGGCCAUUUUUCAGUUUCAAUGUCUGACAUAAGGAGUGAUGACUUUAUCACCUGCCUGUUCAGGUUUGCAUGGAGUGGGUUGGGGCUCUGAUGAAGAUGGUCAUGAAUGAGCUUAUGAAUGUAAGUUAGGACUCCUAUGGUCUGAGAGGUCUGACAACUUUACAUUAUUCAUGGCCAUUCUAUGACCUUUGUUAAUAUGCACUGACACGCCUGAGUAGGGGACUGUUUCAGAGUGUGGGACUCUUAUCUAGUGUGGGGACUCUUAUCUAUUGAUUGAAAUUAUCCUUUUGAAAAUCUAAGGCAAACGACUAGCAAAGGGAUCAAAAGCUCUGAUAUCCCCCUUUUGCCUUCCUUUUUUUUUUUUUUUUUGCAUGUUCUAUCAACUGAGCCAGCCAGGAGCCCCUGAUAACCCCCUUCUAGAGCAUUAGUUAUGGGUAGAGAAAUAUGGAAGAUAGGAUACAAAGGUAGUUUUGAGGGAAGAUCCCAGAGAAGUCUUUAAUUCAAAGUUAGAGAGUUUUGAUUUUAUUUCUUGACUGAGGGGCACCCAUAAGAAAAAGUAAGAAGGGGAGUGACAGUGUAUCUAUGAAAAAGGACGUUUAAUGAGACAGAGGU